rnacentral:rRNA from 1 species
UGAAUACGAGACGCUACGGCGUCGAAGCAGUCUAUGUCAUACUUCCAAGAAAAGCUCGCAAUGUCAUAAACAAAUAAUGCCUGUACCAUAACCGACACAGGUGGGUAGGUAGAGUAUACUAAGGGGCGCGAGAUAACUCUCUCUAAGGAACUCGGCAAAAUGACUCCGUAACUUCGGGAGAAGGAGUGCCUUAUUUAUAAGGUUGCAAUAACAAGAUCCAAGCAACUGUUUAUCAAAAACACAGGUCUCCGCUAAGUCGUAAGACGAUGUAUGGGGGCUGACGCCUGCCCAGUGCCAGAAGGUUAAAGAAGUUGGUUAGCAUUCGCGAAGCUGAUAACUGAAGCCCUGGUGAACGGCGGCCGUAACGAUAACGGUCCUAAGGUAGCGAAAUUCCUUGUCGGGUAAGUUCCGACCCGCACGAAAGGCGUAAUGAUUUGGAUACUGUCUCGGAGAGGGGCUCGGUGAAAUAGACUUGUCUGUGAAGAUGCGGACUACCUGCACCUGGACAGAAAGACCCUAUGAAGCUUUACUGUAACUUGAAAUUGAAAUUGGACUUUAUUUGCGCUGCAUAGGUGGGAGGCGUUGAGAGUAUUCUUGCGGGAAUAUUGGAGCCAUCAGUGAGAUACCACUCUUGUAAUGUUAGAUUUCUAACUUUGGAUCAUUAUCUGGUCAAAGAACAGUUUCAGGCGGGCAGUUUGACUGGGGCGGUCGCCUCCCAAAUGGUAACGGAGGCGUACAAAGGUUUCCUCUGAACGGGUAGAAAUCGUAUCUAGAGUGUAAAGGCAUAAGGAAGCUUGACUGUGAGACCUACAAGUCGAGCAGGGACGAAAGUCGGUCUUAGUGAUCUGACGGUGCUGAGUGGAAAGGCCGUCACUCAACGGAUAAAAGUUACUCUAGGAUAACAGGCUGAUCUCCCCCAAGAGUUCACAUCGACGGGGAGGUUUGGCACCUCGAUGUCGGCUCAUCGCAUCCUGGGGCGGUAGUACGUCCCAAGGGUUGGGCUGUUCGCCCAUGAAAGCGGUACGCGAGCUGGGUUCAGAACGUCGUGAGACAGUUCGGUCCAUAUCCGGUGUAGGCGUUAGAAUAUUGAGAGGAGCCUUCUUUAGUACGAGAGGACCGAGAAGGACAUACCUCUGGUGUACCAGUUAUCGUGCCAACGGUAAACGCUGGGUAGCUAUGUAUGGAGAGGAUAACCGCUGAAAGCAUCUAAGUGGGAAGCCCACCUCAAGAUAAGUAUUCUC